AUUGGUUCACGAACUCAAGUGAUGAAAAAGGGAAUCGGGUGGAACUCCCGAGCAGUCCCGCUGCUGUGAGUCGUCCUUCCAUGCGCCAACAACAAGCCACUGGUUCCCUUGCCGGGAAGGCGUUGGCACACGACGACAAGCCAGAAUACCUGCCAUUGCAC
rnacentral:ncRNA from 1 species